UCUAGUUGAGUGCAGUACUCUGUCAGUAGUCGUUGCGAGUCUGUAGCUCUGUCUAGUUGAGAGCAGUACUCUGUCAGUAGUCGUCGCGAGCAGUAGCUCUGUUCAGUGGCGUGCAGUACGCUAGUAGUCGUCAUGCAGAGCAGUCGGUCAGUGGUAGCAGCCCAGUGGGGUUGCGUGAUGUGGUCUGGCGACAACACUGGUCAAGAUGCUGAAUGAGGUGUUAUCACUCCACCAUUCACUAUAGCUCCAUUGCCACCACCGCUGCUGCCAUCACUGCCAUCCCUGUCACCAUUGCCAGAAAUGCAUCUGCCAUCAGCGCCAUCAGGCCCUACUGCUGCUCCAUUGCCAUUGCCAUCAUCAUUACAUCUGGAUCCAGAAGCAGAAGCACCAGCCAGACCUACUCCAGCAACAACCAGACAAGUACCACCAGCAUAUGCUGCAGCUAUGACAUCAGCCAUAUCUGCAGCAGCUUCAACCACAGCAGCUCAAGUUCCUGACUUCAAAUAUCUGUGCCAUUGAAAGCAGGUGCAACCUUCUCACUGAAUUCCAAAGAAGAGGAUGGUUGACCUUAUUACUCUACAAUUAAUGACAGAAGACUAAUAGUGCUCAUAACAGUAAGACCAAACAAUAUGAAAAUUGUGAAGAAAAAUGUUUGGAACAUGAAAACAUGCUUAUGUUUUGUAAAUGAAGUUAUAGUGAGGCCACCAGCAUGUGACCAGAUGAGAGGAAAUGCAGAUGCCAACAGAAAUCAUGAAGAACUGUAAUUAAUCACUUAUUUACAUAAAAAGGAGAUGUGAACUCUUUUAUAAUCUACAGAUAACACAUAGCAAAACAAAACUGUAUCAUUCUAGAUGCCAAUGCAGAUGCCUUAAAGUAAAAAGGUGAAAUGCUUCUGGCAGAAACAAAAUACAGUGCAGCAAGAAAAGGCAAUUUUUAUUUACAAAACAAAUAUGUAUUAAUCUUCCCUUCACUAACUUCUUUAUGCUUGAUUGUUGCACCAUUUGAGAUACUAGAUGGUUGAUGAAUGACCAAAAUUGUUAUACAAGAAAGUGCUGCUCGUAAUGGGACAUCCUCCUCUAGCCUUACUCUUUCUUAACAGUAGUUGUCGAUACCAGUAUUAUUUUUCGAAUUUUGGAUAGUUCAUUGGUAUCUCAGUUGCUUUUCUGAAAACUAUCAUAUAAUUUUAUACACAGUUUGU